ACGAACGCUGGCGGCGUGCUUAACACAUGCACGUCGAACGCUGAAGCCCCAGCUUGCUGGUGUGGAUGAGUGGCGAACGGGUGAGUAAUACGUGAGUAACCUGCCCUUGACUCUGGGAUAAGCCCGGGAAACUGGGUCUAAUACUGGAUGCUACAUGUCACCGCAUGGUGGUGUGUGGAAAGGGUUUACUGGUCUUGGAUGGGCUCACGGCCUAUCAGCUUGUUGGUGAGGUAAUGGCUCACCAAGGCGACGACGGGUAGCCGGCCUGAGAGGGUGACCGGCCACACUGGGACUGAGACACGGCCCAGACUCCUACGGGAGGCAGCAGUGGGGAAUAUUGCACAAUGGGCGAAAGCCUGAUGCAGCGACGCCGCGUGAGGGAUGACGGCCUUCGGGUUGUAAACCUCUUUCAGCAGGGAAGAAGCCACAAGUGACGGUACCUGCAGAAGAAGCGCCGGCUAACUACGUG
rnacentral:rRNA from 1 species